CCACCGAAAACACCAACGGCUGUGAUGUCGUACAUGUGUUUGGACAGUCAGAUGAUAGGCCAAAUUCAGUUAAAAGCUUCCUUCUCUUCACAACUUUGUCUUCAUCUUCUUUAAACCCAAAAUUCCAGUUAAACAAGUGAGUGAAUGGGGAGGUUGAGAGCAAAAAACAAUAAAGAGAGAGAGAGAAUGACACACCAGAAUAGAGUAUACGUUUUAUGUGCGUAACAGAGAGGGGGAUACUUCUUCUCGCCGAGCUCUCAAAUUGUAGCAGGAAGCUCCAAAACCCAAAAUCGUUGCUACUGCACCUGAACGACACCUCUAUUAAGAUUUAGAGGAAAACACUGGAGAGCCAUGUUUAGAUUCCUUUCGGGAAGUGUAGUUUGGAGCAAAUUCCGUAUUUUAUUUUAAACUUGUGGCUAGUAUUUUGUAUUUUGAAAUGUAGAUAUCCUAUUGGGCCUCAGUAUAUAGUCUUUUAUAAACUUUAUAUGGAUAUAUAGUUUUACUACAAUGUAAAUAUUUUUAUUAUGUUUGCUAUGUUGCACUUUGGUUUCCCUAUUUGGCAUCAGGACGUCACACAUAACUAUGAUUCCUUUGUGGCCAUAACUAUGAUUCCUUUGUGGCCAUGAA